rnacentral:rRNA from 1 species
UAUAUCGGAACGUACCCAAGAGUGGGGAGUAACGUAGCGAAGUUACGCUAAUACCGCAUACGAUCUAUGGAUGAAAGACAGGGACCGUUCGGGCCGUUGUGCUCCUGGAGCGGCCGAUAUCUGAUUAGCUAGUUGGUGAGGUAAAGGCUCACCAAGGCGACGAUCAGUAGCUGGUCUGAGAGGACGACCAGCCACACUGGAACUGAGACACGGUCCAGACUCCUACGGGAGGCAGCAGUGGGGAAGUAUUGCACAAUGGGCGCAAGCCUGAUGCAGCCAUGCCGCGUGUGUGAAGAAGGC